GGGUGGAAAUUAUAUCAAACGCAGUGCAAAGCUGACCAGCAGGAAAACUCCAACGAUUGUGGCUGCUGCAAAGGCAAUCACAUCCAGCAAAUAGAAUUGAUACCAGUGUUGGUGUUUUCUUUUGAAUGUAUUGAAAUUUGCUCCGUUUUGGGCACCCCUGCUCUCAAAGACUUUGUACAAAAUCACAAACACACAUCUACGUGGUAACCAUCACAUUGCUGAACAGCAAAACAGAAGAAAAAAUACGACAACAAUAUGGCCGAAGACGAUAACUACCUCUUCCUCGUUAGUUUCGUGCCGAUGAUGAGAAGGAUGACGCCACGACAAAAUGCCACAUUUCGCACCAUGGUGAUGCAAGCUAUGUUGGAUACGAUGCAACAUCCACCCAACCAACUGCAACAACAGCAACAGGAAGAACAGGAGCAACAGGAGCCAUCCAGCUCCACACAAUAAAUCCAUUGCGUGGCGCCGACUUGUGGCUGUUGCAGACAGAUGAUUUUCUGCUGCAGAUGAGUUUCUGCCACAAGUCGGCGCCACGCAAUGGAAGGAGCUGCGGCUCCUGUUCCGCCUGUUGCUGUUGUUGCAGUUGCAUUGUAUGCAACAACGCUUCGCUCACCUUUGCUCAAAAAAGUGGGCAUUUUGUACAGGCUUCAUGUUUUUCAUCAUCAUGAAAUUAUAAUCUGCGUCUCCAACAUGAUGUUUGUCAUCCAGUCUCGACGUGGAGCCGCCGCACUUUGCGCCACAGAUGCGUGCCACUAUCAAAUUUUAUAGAGAUUAUGCCCAGCAGCUGCACUCCAUACGGGCCAAGUCGAUAGGUCCUGUCGGUCUAUGUGGGCCAACGGGAGCUGGCCGCUGCGGCACCGCACGACAAGAACAUUAACAUCAUUGGCGCCGACGAUGUCACCACCUGUAUUAUCGUUGUUGUCCGGUUCAGGUGCUGUUGCUUUGGCGCAUUUCGAUGGCAGCGGCGUUGAUGAGGCCGUCUGCACAAUGCAUUGUGCACUGGCACCAUCGAAUCGACGGUGGGACGUGACGUUGUCAGCGGUGCGCGACUGUUCAGCAGCAUCACCGAAGAAUGGAGUUGCAGCAGAUAAGAUAAAGAAAUAUAAAUAUUUAAUCAAAUAUCAUCUUUUGAAAAGUAUUUUUUUUUAAGUAUAGACAGGAAUAAAUAGUUAAUAUAGUAAUAAAUGUCUAUGGAUGCAUCGAUUUAAUAGAGAUAGUUAUGAAUAAAAUAAUGAAGAAAUUUAUGUAUAAAAUAAUAUCAAAAUAUUUAAUUAUAUUUAAUAAUCUUAACUGAAAACUG